GGAAAUCAGGAGUGAAGCUCCUCUCUGAUCUACUGAAGGAUCCACACUGUAACCUGGAGACACUACACAUUAACUAUAAUAAACUCACCAGGACGGCGUAUGACAGGAGUCUCACCUCAAACCUCUUCUCCAGGAUAAAGCAGUCUUGGUGAAGAGUUAGAACCGGUCCCACAUUUCCAGCAGUUUGGGAGCUGAAUCAUUGAACUUAAAGGGGCAGAGCAGAAACAAAGUCAAGAACAGGCAGAAGGUCAUACACAGGAGAAAUCAACACACGUAACCAAAUAUCUGCUGUACAAAGUAACGGCACCGAUCUGCCCCGGGGAUGGAGACUGACGAGGCUUAAGUACACGUCCGGAAAUGUACAGCCAACUCAUCCCAAAGCACGAGGCGGGAGCAGGCACGUACAAGAUGUGAUCGUCCAAUGGCAAGCCGGAACAUGAUGCAUUGCAGUGGACUGGGCUUAAAAGAGGAGGAGACAAGACACCCAUCCCUCCCCUGACAUAGACACACGAAUGGAACAUAGUACAAAUAGAAAUAAAACUGAGGACAUAACAAUGGUCAAGUAUCAAAUAUAA